GAAGCCUAGUAUACACCGUGUUUUAUUUAUUUCCGUUAAUUUCAAGGCUGUAUUCUUGACCUUAAAUUAACCCUUUUCCAGGCCACACCAAUCUACACGUUUUCCCAAAAAAAUCAAAUAUAUUCAAAUAAAUCCAACUUUGAUGAUUCAUUUGAAGACAAGUCACAUUUCCCGAAAGUAAAAUCUAAUCUGAACCUUUAAAUCGAAAUGCUUAAGUUGAAAUUCUAUUAACGCCUAUGUGGUCGAUAAAUCUUACUAUGCCUGGAAAAGGGUUAAGUAUCUUUCUCAAAGACACCGGUAUUCUAAUUAACUCCAUUUCGGAGAUAGUCAAUAAUUUAUUUUAUCUUAUAAGGCCCUCACGAGCGCAUACACUUGCCUAUGGGCCUGUUUACAUUUUGUUUAGUGUUUAAUAGUACGAGUAUGUACAUUUGCUACUAAACGUUAAUACUAUCUCGAACGAUUGAUGUAUGAAAUGAUAUUGAUAUAGUCAUAGUUUUCAAUUAUUUGGUUACAACAACACUAUAUGCAACACUUAAUUACUUUUUAUAAAAUAAUAAAAAAUGUAUUUAAAAAAAAUCGAAAAUUAACUAUGCCAUUUAGUUUCCUUAAACGUACUUACCCAUGCCCCGGAAUUAACGGAAUUCAAUAAAUACACGGUGUAUAGUUUUACUCGUACAAAUAUCUCUAAAAUUUGCGCUAGCCAGGAUUACAAAUAAUUAUAAUAGUGUGUUUCAUUCAUCAUAUUCAGGACACGUUUACAACCUGCUGAGAAUCCACAAUUUCACUAUAUUUCGUAAGGAAGGAUUGUGUAGGUACUUACACACAGCUACAAAAGUGCAUGGCCACUUUAUGAAUGAAUCCCAUCCAAUUUUGCAGCUCGCUGUACACAUGCAGGUUACGGUACUAUUAAGUAAGGAGCUCUUUUAAGCUUUUCUCGCGAUAAUAGGUAAAUAUUAAUCACCAAAAUUAAUUUCAGAUAACACCAGCAACAAAUCAUUAUGAUGAUACCUAUCUAGCAUGAAUCAUGAUAAUAAAGUCAAUCACUACAUUACAAAUAAAUGAUUUUAUAAAUUUAAUCAUGAAGCCAGUUCUAAUGCUUCUUAGGGAGCAGCUAUCGUCGCCAUUGAAGUCAACUUCGAUAAAAAAAUCAACAUUGCGACUUUCGGCCGAUGCUGUGUUGUAACUACUCUCAGUGUUAUUCGCGCAACAGACAAGCCACGUCCUAUGGUGUGUUCAACCGAUAUCUAACGAAAUAACAAUGACUUACGCGUUUAUAAUAGUGGCGGCCGUGGCGUUGACGUUGAAAGUGUGUUUCAUGAGUUUCUCACUUUAUUUCACCUUGAAAAAUGGAGAAAAACAGCAGACACAGACGAACCUCCCAGCUAAUAAAUCGAUGGUGAUAUCUUGGAAGCGGGUUACCCAGAAGUUCCUUCCCCGGUCACUCUACUGCGUCGAAGAAAACAACAAAAACUUUGUUAAUAAAAUGUAGACUUUAAGUUAUCUGUAAAUAUAGUUAUUUAGGUUUUAAUUGAAGGAUUACUGGAAAACAAUAAAUUUAAUAUAUUUUCUUAUUUUGCAUGAUAUGUACCGGAAUAGCGAAAAAUUUUUUGUCUAGUCUUUAACAGGCUUAACGGAAUCCAAAAACAUGCGGUGGUAUAUCGGUACAAGUAUGUAGGUAUGUUAAUAAUUCAACAUCAUUCUGUUUGAUAAUAUAGCCACAACCUGCAAAAAAUUAAGAGCUAUUUUUACACACACAUUAUUUACUGAAUCAGCUGUCGAUGUAAAACAUGACCACUUUUUAUUUCUCUAGGUAUUUUUAUCAGUAUUAAACAUUACAAUAUUUUAGUGGUAAUUAAUUACUAACCAGGGCUCAUACAUUUCACUCGUUGGCGUAAAACUGACGUAAUUUCAUAUACAGGCAGUUUUUUUAUAACACUAUAUAAAUUUUGAUAGCUAUCAUAUUGACGUGUAAAAAAAUACUUGUUAUAUACACUGUUAAAAAUAAAAAAUAUUGUAUCAUUUAAUAAACUAACAAUCUAUUAUUUUGUUUCGCGUUGACAGUAAGGUGAAAGUCAGUUAGACAUUUCUGUAUUGAUUGUCAAUUAUCUAUAUCAGUUAAAUAAAGAGGUUGACAAAUGAUGAACUAUUGCGAAAAUACUAAUUGGAAUCAUACUCUAUGUAACGUGACGUCAUUUUUCCGUCAACGGCAUGAAAUGUACGGGCCCUGCUAUUAACUAAUGAGAACAAUAAUUCCCAGUAUCUUCACCAACUUUACACCAACAAGCAAUGUGGGGAAGCAUUGGACGGUGUUGAGAUGGGCAUAAAGUGUAACGGAUGAUUUAUGACGACACUGUAAUACUGCUACUAGCUAACAGUAUAGAAGAACUAAAACAACUAUUGGAGUGCUUAAAUACCAAGGUUAAACACUACAACCUUCAAAUAAACAUUAAAGAAUCCAAGCUGAUGGUAAUAAGCAAAUCAACAGUUCCAACAAACAAUCUGAUAAUCGAUGGUAAACCAAUAAAAAGAGUUCCGAAAUACAGGUACCUAAAAUGCAGGCCGAGUGAAAACUGGGAUCCAGAACAGGAAAUCAGAGUGAGAAUAGAAAUAGCCCGUAGUGCUGGUCUUAAAAUGCAAAAAUACCAAUAAAUACAUUAACUUAAAUCUAAGAUGGAGACUAGUAAAAUGGUAUGUAUAAAACAAUGGAAAACAAAAUACAGGCCUUCGAAAAGUGGCUGCUGACAGUAUCAUGGAUCGCAAGAAUAAAGUAUAUAGAGAUCCUAAAAAGAAUAAAGAAAAAAAGGAAUCGUUAGCCACAGUUAAGCGGAGAAAGAUAGCAUAUUAUGGACAUUUGCAUCUACAUGAAAAGUACAAUCUAUUGAAAAUUAUAAUAGAAGGAAAAACAGAGGGAAAACAAGGGAAGGGAAAGAAAGAGGAUGUACUGGAUCGACAACAUUAAAAAAUGGACAAACACCAAGGACGCGACGCGGCCACGCUAACAAGACUGGCCAUUAAUAAAAAAUACUUUGCAUAGGUGGCCACCGACGUCCGCUAGGGCAUGGCAGCAGAAGAAUACCACCAACGAAACUGGUAACUAGUGGGAUUUUUUUUAUCUCGAUUGUUCCCAGUUGUAAAAGGUGAUAAAAAAUUAUUCUCUGCUAUUAACACUGAGCACAACUUGGUGGUAACUAGUGGGAAUAACCCGCAUAGCAUACCUAAAGUUUAUAACAAUGGCAGACCAUUGUACUACUAAACAUCCAUAAUACAGAUAUUAUUUAUAAAGUGAGAUAAAUGCCCUAGAUAUUAUUAUAUAAAGUGCCUGCAACCUGACCAGUUUAAAAUACGACUAAAAUCAUACUUAAUAAACAAAUGCUAUUACUCAGUAAAUGAUUUUUUUGAAGAUACCUGAAAUAGUUAUAACUUGUCCAUUUUAUAUAGAUACUAGUUUGACAUGUAAGUACUUCAUCAUUAUAUUCUAGAUUUGUGAAAUGUUGCUAUUUUUUCUAUUAUAAAUAUUUUUAUUGCUGUAAUAUUACUGAUAAUCCUAAUUUAGGUAAUUGAUUUGUAAUAAUUUUAUUAUUAACAUUAUGUAUGUGACUUUUUUAAAUAUUUGUAUGCCAAUAGGCAAAACACAGAGUUCUAUUUAUUACUUUAUAUAUAAGACCUUAAAUGUAACACCUGUGUUCCACAAAUAAAAUUUACUUUACUUUAAGUCAAUAGCCAUCUAUGAAGUGUAUUUUAAACAGAUAAAAUUGUAAAAUUACUUAAGUAAUGGAAAAUUUGUUUUAUUUUGAG